rnacentral:rRNA from 1 species
UACGUAGGGCGCAAGCGUUGUCCGGAAUUAUUGGGCGUAAAGAGCUCGUAGGCGGUCUGUCGCGUCUGCUGUGAAAAUCCAGGGCUCAACCCUGGACCUGCAGUGGGUACGGGCAGACUAGAGUGCGGUAGGGGAGAUCGGAAUUCCUGGUGUAGCGGUGAAAUGCGCAGAUAUCAGGAGGAACACCGGUGGCGAAGGCGGAUCUCUGGGCCGUAACUGACGCUGAGGAGCGAAAGCGUGGGGAGCGAACAGG